AUUGAACGCUGGCGGCAGGCCUAACACAUGCAAGUCGAGCGGAGCGGCGGACGGGUGAGUAAUGCCUAGGAAUCUGCCUGGUCGUGGGGGAUAACGUCCGGAAACGGGCGCUAAUACCGCAUCCUCUCAGAUGAGCUUAGGUCGGAUUGGCUAGUUGGUGGGGUAAAGGACUACCAAGUCGACGAUCCGUAACUGGUCUGAGAGGAUGAUCAGUCACACUGGAACUGAGACACGGUCCAGACUCCUACCUUGCUCAUCAGUUUAUAAUAUUGGACAAUGGGCGAAAGCCUGAUCCAGCCAUGCCGCGUGUGUGAAGAAGGUCUUCGGAUUGUAAAGCACUUUAAGUUGGGAGGCGUUACCAACAGAAUAAGCACCGGCUAACUUCGUGCCAGCAGCCGCGGUAAUUC
rnacentral:rRNA from 1 species